rnacentral:lncRNA from 10 species
AAUGCAGGACACUGGGCUCCGGCGGCCAGAGUGGGGGACUAGGUGAAGCGGCGCCGGGCCGGGGCUGGCCGGGACCAGGCCCGAGGCUGAGCGGCGGCGACAGCGGUGGCCGGGAGGGGGGAGGAGAGGCGCAGCCAGAGGAGCCGCCGCAGUAGCUCCCCCGCCUCCCGGGCUGAGGGAAUGUCUAAUUUAAUAGGGAUAUAGACAGUUGGUUUAAACCAACAUUUUUGGACGAGGAGAGGCUAUGGAAAUGAAGAAAGAAGUGUUUAGAAAUAUCACACAAACAGCAUUUUAAGAAAGAAAGAUGGAUCAACCUAGUGGAAGAAGUUUCAUGCAAGUAUUAUGUGAAAAAUAUAGUCCUGAAAAUUUUCCUUAUCGCCGUGGCCCGGGGAUGGGAGUCCAUGUCCCAGCCACACCUCAGGGCUCUCCUAUGAAAGAUCGCCUCAACCUCCCAAGUGUACUAGUGUUGAACAGCUGUGGAAUAACCUGUGCAGGAGAUGAAAAAGAAAUUGCUGCUUUCUGCGCUCAUGUGUCGGAACUAGAUCUUUCUGAC